UAAAUACUCCCUCCGUCCGGAAUUACUUGUCAUCAAAAUAGAUGAAAAUAGAUGUAUCUAGAAUUAAAAUACAUCUAGAUACAUCCAUUUCAAUGACAAGUAUUUUCGGACGGAGGGAGUAUUUA
rnacentral:pre_miRNA from 1 species